UACGAAGGGGGCGAGCGUUGUUCGGAUUUACUGGGCGUAAAGGGCGCGUAGGCGGCCCUCCUAGUCGCGUGUGAAAGCCCCGGGCUCAACCUGGGAAUUGCGCGCGAAACGGGGGGGCUUGAGUUCGGGAGAGGAGCGUGGAAUUCCCAGUGUAGAGGUGAAAUUCGUAGAUAUUGGGAGGAACACCAGUGGCGAAGGCGGCUCACUGGACCGGUACUGACGCUGAUGCGCGAAAGCGUGGGGAGCAAACGGG
rnacentral:rRNA from 1 species